GGGGUAAGACCCCGUGGAGGCGCGAACCGACCUAGGUUGAAAACUGGGCGGAUGACCUGUGGAUAGGGGUGAAAGGCCAAUCAAACUCGGUGAUAGCUGGUUCUCCGCGAAAUGCAUUUAGGUGCAGCGUCGCAUGUUCAGCCAUGGAGGUAGAGCACUGGAUGGGCUAGGGGGCCUACAAGCUUACUGAACCCAACCAAACUCCGAAUACCAUGGCUCCAUAGUGCGGCAGUGAGUCCUCGGGGGAUGAGCUUCGAUGGACGAAAGGGAAACAGCCCAGACCGCCGACUAAGGUCCCAAAGUUCUAACUAAGUGGUAAACGAAGUGGGAUUGCCAAGACAGCCAGGAUGUUGGCUUAGAAGCAGCCAUCAUUAAAAGAGUGCGUAACAGCUCACUGGUCAAGUGGUCCCGCGCGGAAAAUGUAACGGGGCUAAAGUUAGGCACCGAAGUCGCGGAUUUCUGCUUAUGCAGGAGUGGUAGCGGAGCGUCGAGCUCGGAUUGAAGCAGCGGUGUAAACCGUUGUGGACUGAGCUCGAGUGAGAAUGUAGGUAUGAGUAGCGAGAGAGGGGUGAGAAACCCCUCCGCCGGAAGUCCAAGGGUUCCUGGGGAAGGCUAAUCCUCCCAGGGUAAGUCGGGAGCUAAGGCGAGGCCGAGAGGCGUAGUCGAUGCACAACUGGUUGAUAUUCCAGUACCACAGGUUGCGCGCCCAACGCAGAACUACGGUUGCUAAAGGGAUGGUCGGUCCUUCGGGACUGACAGGAACUGACCCACUGUAGGGAGCGAGCGAAGCGGGGACGCAGGAAGGUAAGUGAACCCAGGCGAUGGUUGUCCUGGGGCAAGCGUGUAGGCCGGGGCGUAGGUAAGUCCGCUCCCCAUAAAGGCCGAGACGUGACGCCGAGCCGCACAAGGCGAAGUCACCGAUCCUAUGCUGCCAAGAAAAGCCGCUAGUUAGCGCAACCAGUGCCCGUACCCCAAACCAACUCAGGUGGACAGGUAGAGAAUACUAAGGCGAUUGGGAGAACUAUGGUUAAGGAACUCGGCAAAUUGCAUCCGUAACUUCGGGAGAAGGAUGACCUUGCUAGGGUGACAAACUUUUCGUUUGUAGCCCGAAGAGGUGACACAAACCAGGGGAAAGCGACUGUUUACUAAAAACACAGCAGCGUGCUAAGUCCUAAGACGACGUAUACGCUGUGACGCCUGCCCGGUGCUGGAAGGUUACGGGGAAGGGUUAGCCUUCGGGCGAAGCUCUGAACCUAAGCCCCAGUAAACGGCGGCCGUAACUAUAACGGUCCUAAGGUAGCGAAAUUCCUUGUCGGGUAAGUUCCGACCUGCA
rnacentral:rRNA from 1 species